CACACGACCGUACCGCAAACCGACACUGGUGCGCGAGAUGAGUAUUCUAAGGCGCUUGAGAGAACUCAGGAGAAGGAACUCGGCAAAUUGACACCGUAACUUCGGAAGAAGGUGUGCCUUUAGUAGGUGAAGUCCCUCGCGGAUGGAGCCCAAUGAGGUUGCAAAAAAUCGGUGGCUGCGACUGUUUAUUAAAAACACAGCACUCUGCAAACACGAAAGUGGACGUAUAGGGUGUGACGCCUGCCCGGUGCUGGAAGAUUAAAUGAUGGGGUGCAAGCUCUUGAUUGAAGUCCCAGUAAACGGCGGCCGUAACAAUAACGGUCCUAAGGUAGCGAAAUUCCUUGUCGGGUAAGUUCCGACCUGCACGAAUGGCGUAACGAUGGCCACACUGUCUCCUCCUGAGACUCAGCGAAGUUGAAAUGUUUGUGAUGAUGCAAUCUCCCCGCGGAAAGACGGAAAGACCCCAUGAACCUUUACUGUAGCUUUGUAUUGGACUUUGAACAGAUCUGUGUAGGAUAGGUGGGAGGCUUUGAAGCAGGGUCGCUAGAUCUUGUGGAGCCAACGUUGAAAUACCACCCUGGUGUGUUUGAGGUUCUAACCUAGGCCCGUAAUCCGGGUUGGGGACAGUGCAUGGUAGGCAGUUUGACUGGGGCGGUCUCCUCCCAAAGUGUAACGGAGGAGUUCGAAGGUACGCUAGUUACGGUCGGACAUCGUGACGAUAGUGCAAUGGCAUAAGCGUGCUUAACUGCGAGACUGACAAGUCGAGCAGAUGCGAAAGCAGGACAUAGUGAUCCGGUGGUUCUGUAUGGAAGGGCCAUCGCUCAACGGAUAAAAGGUACUCUGGGGAUAACAGGCUGAUACCGCCCAAGAGUUCAUAUCGACGGCGGUGUUUGGCACCUCGAUGUCGGCUCAUCUCAUCCUGGGGCUGUAGCCGGUCCCAAGGGUAUGGCUGUUCGCCAUUUAAAGAGGUACGUGAGCUGGGUUUAAAACGUCGUGAGACAGUUUGGUCCCAAUCUUCCGUGGGCGCUGCAGAUUUGAGGAAGCCUGCUCCUAGUACGAGAGGACCGGAGUGGACGUACCUCUGGGGUAUCGGUUGUCACGCCAGUGGCAUUGCCGAGUAGCUAUGUGCGGAAGAGAUAACCGCUGAAAGCAUCUAAGCGGGAAACUCGUUUCAAGAUGAGAUCUGCCGGGGCCUUGAGCCCCCUGAAGAGUCGUUCAAGACCAGGACGUUGAUAGGUCGGGUGUGGAAGCGCAGUAAUGCGUUAAGCUAACCGAUACUAAUUGCUCGUGCGGCUUGACCCU
rnacentral:rRNA from 1 species